UCCACUGGUGUGAACUCAGGAUUCCGCAUUAGGUCCUGGAAAGCUGUGCAGCUUUUAACCACAGCUCUUGUUGUGACCAGUUUUUUUCUGUUUUCUGCAUUUUCUAAUGAAUUUGCCCUCAACGCAGUCACAUUUGAAUGACAGAGACUAAAAACCACUUCCUGGGGAGUCACGAACACACUUGCGAGAAAGAAAUGGAGAACUGAUUUACAUCAAGCUGCACUCCAUUACUCCUCCUCACUGGAUCAAACUGGCAGCGAUGCAGCUUGGUCAUCCAGUCACCAUCAGCACUUCUCUCCAAAUCCCUCCCCAACCUCAGAGUCUGAUAUCCAGGAGCCGACACCCAUUCCUGCUGGACUCCAUCCAGCCCGUGUUGGUCAGGGCUAUCAUCAAUCCAAAACGGGGGAUGGAGGAACCUCUCCAGCCGCAGACUCCACAAAGCCCCAGUAACUGCAGCUCAUCGGGACCUGGUGGGAAAUCCUGCUGGAGUUUAGACCUGAGGGUGGCUAUUCUUCUGCUUACUCUGGCAGGAGCAGUAAUCCUCCUGCUGCUGUACAGACUGUUACAGCUGAGACACAGGUGUGUACAUGUGUAAUAACAUGUAGCCAAAAGGUAAAUUGAUGUCAGGCUUGUUUGGCUGAGGAUGGCCAGAGCGAGGCAUGCUUUGGAGUACACCAGCUUCUACCACAGUGGCACCUACACACUCAAACACCCCACACCUUGUCAGGAGCUGCCAGAGAAGAACAGGGCAGUACCUGAAGACACUGCACCACUCCAAACCAUAACCUCAAUGACACCUGCUGUCAUCACCCCAGUGCCACCUCCAUCGCUGCCCUCACCGGCACCCCCUCCACUGCCACUCCCCCCACCUCCUGUCCUACCACGUCCACCUCUUCACCCUCCAGUUUCUCUCCCUCCAACACCCCCUGUCCUGUCACUCCCUCUUCCCGUGCCUGUCAUCCACACCACCCCGCCCAGCCCUCACCUGUCAUGGGGUGCCUGCUCAGAUGCAGAUGUUUAUUCUCGGAUUGGGACUUUCAGGCCAUCCAGGCUUUCCAACCUCUCCAACCAGUCGACGGUCAUCCUGUUUGAACACUCAUCUGUUUGAACUCUCACAGAAUGUGUGUGAUCUCCUCAAGGAGUCUGUGACUGUGACAAGGAUUACAAGAUGUUUCCUGUACUCUAUGUUUGUGUGUGUAAUAUACAGCAAAAUAUAAGAGGUUAACGUUUCAAAACUUUAAAACAUGAAGUUUGCACUUUGUCAGCCACUGAAGGGCUUUAUUGACAAAAAAAAAAGAAAGAAAAAAGCAGAUGCAAUAAAAUUGCAA